rnacentral:rRNA from 1 species
UACGUAGGGUGCGAGCGUUUAAUCGGAAUUACUGGGCGUAAAGCGUGCGCAGGCGGUUUUGUAAGCCAGAUGUGAAAUCCCCGGGCUUAACCUGGGAAUGGCAUUUGGGACUGCAAGGCUUGAGUGCGGCAGAGGAGACUGGAAUUCCUGGUGUAGCAGUGAAAUGCGUAGAUAUCAGGAGGAACACCGAUGGCGAAGGCAGGUCUCUGGGCCGAUACUGACGCUGAGGAGCGAAAGCGUGGGGAGCGAACAGA